rnacentral:tRNA from 1 species
UACUCAGCAGCUAAGUUGUUAAAGCGCUUUACUAGCUUACAAGAUUCGUGGGUUCGAAUCCCACCUGAACAC